UUUAGCAUCCUUCAUGAUGUCUCAACGGGCACUCAGCAGUGACAAUUACUGAGCAGGAAAGGAUUCAUCCAUGCAGAAGAGCUCAGAGUGUAUUCUGGAGAUGGGACCUGCUUCCCACCAGUGCCCAUGAGACGCUCGUUCUGUUGGAAGGGAUGAAGGCAAGAAGCCAUCCUCUCCCAGGGACUGACCUACCUUUUCCACAACCCCUUUCAGAAAACAUACCACUGGAUACCCUCCCUUAUCAUAGCUGCUCCAAUCCUGCUUUAAGUUAGGAAUAAUUCUGGCGUGCCUUCCAAAGCCUCUGUGUUUGUUCAGAAAUAUUAAGAACAAGGUUUACUUCUUUCUGAUUAGAAAAGAAAUCUGAAAACUGGGUCAGUUCAUGUUUCCC
rnacentral:lncRNA from 1 species